GAUGAACGCUGGCGGCGUGCCUAAUACAUGCAAGUCGAGCGAACAGACGAGGAGCUUGCUCCUCUGACGUUAGCGGCUGACGGGUGAGUAACACGUGGAUAACCUACCUAUAAGACUGGGAUAACUUCGGGAAACCGGAGCUAAUACCGGAUAAUAUAUUGAACCGCAUGGUUCAAUAGUGAAAGACGGUUUUGCUGUUACUUAUAGAUGGAUCCGCGCCGCAUUAGCUAGUUGGUAAGGUAACGGCUUACCAAGGCGACGAUGCGUAGCCGACCUGAGAGGGUGAUCGGCCACACUGGAACUGAGACACGGUCCAGACUCCUACGGGAGGCAGCAGUAGGGAAUCUUCCGCAAUGGGCGAAAGCCUGACGGAGCAACGCCGCGUGAGUGAUGAAGGUCUUCGGAUCGUAAAACUCUGUUAUUAGGGAAGAACAAAUGUGUAAGUAACUAUGCACGUCUUGACGGUACCUAAUCAGAAAGCCACGGCUAACUACGUG
rnacentral:rRNA from 1 species